rnacentral:tRNA from 1 species
AGCUCAGUUGGUAGAGUGUUUGCCUAGCAUGCAUAAGACCCUGGGUUCAAUCCCCAG